rnacentral:lncRNA from 1 species
AAAGAACAUACGAAGGAGCAACGUUUAAUUAUUCAGGCUUUAAAUAGUAUGCCACAUUACAGAUUGACGUAAAUAAGUUGUUGAUAUGAUUAAUUUAACAUGUUUUCUUGGAUUAUGAGUUGUUAAAACUAAAAUAGACUGAUACCGAAAUAUAUAGACAUACAACACUAUUUUCUUUUUAAUAGUCUAUUUCUUUACCACCAUAGAACACAAUUUUAAAAAUUUAAUGCAUCAACUACACAUAUUUAUUUAUGUUUGACGCCAGAAACAAACCUAAAAAUGCAUAUAUGAUAUAAUACAGAUUCAAAAAAAAAAAAUAUAUAUA